rnacentral:rRNA from 1 species
UACAGAGGUCUCAAGCGUUGUUCGGAUUCAUUGGGCGUAAAGGGUGCGUAGGCGGCGCGGUAAGUCGGGUGUGAAAUCUUGGAGCUUAACUCCGAAACUGCAUUCGAUACUCGCCGUGCUUGAGGACUGGAGAGGAGACUGGAAUUUACGGUGUAGCGGUGAAUGCGUAGAUAUCGUAAGGAAGACCAGUGGCGAAGGCGGGUCUCUGGACAGUUCCUGACGCUGAAGCACGAAGGCCAGGGGAGCAAACGGG